UUCUUAAAUUUUUUACUUUUAUUUUAAUUAUGAAAUAACAGUAUUGAGGGUGGAGGUGUAGACUCUCACACCAUAUGCCACCAGUUAAACCAAACACCGUGGCAAGCCUAUUUUGGUGUAGGUUUCUUAUAAUGUUACAGGUUAAUAACCCAUAUAAUAAAACUGCCGAACAUCAUUUUAUGAAGAUGUCUAUACCAUCAUUCAUUGCCAGAAAAAAAUAAUGAUAGAAAAAUAUAAUAAAUCCAGUAAAUAUAACAUGGUUUUUCUGACUUAAUACCAACACAUUUUCUUUCAGAUCUAUGUGACAAAGUCCCUGAUGUGCUUAUUUUCAUUCUUAAAAGAACACUCUACCUUCUGGUUCUGAUCAUCCUUUCAGAAAGGGAUAAAGAAUACCCAGCACUGAUGUCUUUCAUUGCAUUCCUCUACAUCCUGAAUGCAAUACAGGAAUUUAAGCACAGGAGUAAUUUCCCUGCUGUUCUUCAUAUCCUAGUAUAUGUGAUUGGUUCUGCUGUCCUAAGUGUCCUUAAUUCAGCUGCUCUAGCAACAGAAGUAAUUCUGAAAGCAGAAAAUGGGGAACGAACUGUGGAAGAUCUUCGGUUGAUCAUCUUUCCCCUUGAGUCUUUCUUUUUGGCCUGUUGGCUAGUUUUACAGAUCUAUGCAUACUGUAAGUAUUUGGAAAUAUUACAUAUUUGGUACAUAUCAAAUAUGG